CCUUACCUCGCCAGCGACGGUUCCCUUAGGGGAUCAAAAGGGAACGCGGUGCGGAUGGUUCGCCAUUCUAUGCCGGGGCUGCCCCCGCAACUGUAAGCGGCGAGCCUUUCGCCACACGCCACUGGGACCCUCGGACCUGGGAAGGCGGCGUCAAGGCACCGACCCGCGAGCCAGGAGACCUGCCGUCAGCCGUGGUCACAC
rnacentral:ncRNA from 2 species